rnacentral:rRNA from 1 species
GACGAACCGUGCGAACGUUGUUCGGAAUCACUGGGCUUAAAGGGCGCGUAGGCGGGGAGGUAAGUCGGGUGUGAAAUCCCUCGGCCCAACCGAGGAACUGCGCCCGAGACUGCUUCUCUUGAGUCCCGGAGAGGAAGGUGGAAUUCCCGGUGUAGCGGUGAAAUGUGUAGAGAUCGGGAGGAACACCGGUGGCGAAGGCGGCCUUCUGGACGGUGACUGACGCUGAGGCGCGAAAGCGUGGGGAGCAAACGGG